GGGGGUGUAGCUCAGCUGGUCAGAGCGCGUGCUUUGCAAGCAUGAGGCCAUCGGUUCGACUCCGAUCAUCUCCA
rnacentral:tRNA from 1 species